rnacentral:rRNA from 1 species
AUACGGAGGGUGCAAGCGUUGUUCGGAAUUACUGGGCGUAAAGCGCGCGUAGGUGGUCUGUUAUGUCAGAUGUGAAAGUCCACGGCUCAACCGUGGAAGUGCAUUUGAAACUGGCAGACUUGAGUACUGGAGGGGGUAGUGGAAUUCCCGGUGUUGAGGUGAAAUUCGUAGAUAUCGGGAGGAAUAUCGGUGGCGAAGGCGACUACCUGGCCAGAUACUGACACUGAGGUGCGAAAGCGUGGGGAGCAAACAGGAUUAGAAACCCUAGUAGUCC